UAUAUUAUUAGUGGUUCUUUAUUAUAUAUUGAAAUCUUUUUAUAAAUAUUGAAUAUAAUUUGUAGUAGCCAAGUUAGCUAGAUUAGUUUGAUUAUUCUUAAAUGGUUCAAUUUUUAAUUAAGUUUUGAUAACAAUGUAAUUCCAAGAGGUUCUUUGAAGCUCUACUAUAAACACACAUGCUCAAGUCAACAUUUUGAAAGAUCUUACAUCAAACUACAA
rnacentral:lncRNA from 1 species